rnacentral:rRNA from 1 species
AUUGAACGCUGGCGGAAUGCUUUGCACAUGCAAGUCGAACGGCAGCAUAGGUGCUUGCACCUGAUGGCGAGUGGCGAACGGGUGAGUAAUACAUCGGAACGUGCCCAGUCGUGGGGGAUAACGUAGCGAAAGUUACGCUAAUACCGCAUACGAUCUAAGGAUGAAAGCGGGGGACCGUAAGGCCUCGCGCGAUUGGAGCGGCCGAUGUCAGAUUAGGUAGUUGGUGAGGUAAAGGCUCACCAAGCCGACGAUCUGUAGCUGGUCUGAGAGGACGAGCAGCCACACUGGGACUGAGACACGGCCCAGACUCCUACGGGAGGCAGCAGUGGGGAAUUUUGGACAAUGGACGCAAGUCUGAUCCAGCCAUUCCGCGUGCAGGACGAAGGCCUUCGGGUUGUAAACCGCUUUUGUCAGGGAAGAAAAGCCUUGGGUUAAUACCCUGGGGUGAUGACGGUACCUGAAGAAUAAGCACCGGCUAACUACGUGCCAGCAGCCGCCGUAA